GUGGAACUGUUAAGAGAUAUUAAGAGGUAAACAAAUACCACUUAAGACAAUCGACAAUACUAACUCAUCCGGCUAUACCUAAUUUCUCACUCACAAAAAUGUAGUACUACCUCCGUCCCACAAUAAGUGCUUUUUUAGGUUUAAUAUUUUUUUUCAAAAUAAGUGAUGAGUUAAAACUCCAAUACAAUUUUUACAAUAUUUUCUCAUAUAUGCCCUUAUGCAUUCAAUGGUAUUUAUUGCAUCUUUCAAUCACUACAAUUAAAUGACACUCAUUAACU
rnacentral:lncRNA from 1 species